CGGAAAAUGAAAGAGCUACGAAAAAAUUACAAAAAAAACUAGAAUGAGAAUAAAAUCAAAUAAAAGCAUAUUUGGAGACCAAUGGGAGGUGGGGUGGACUUUUUAACUCUUCAUUUUUUAUUUUUCUUUCUUACCGUUUUUC
rnacentral:ribozyme from 12 species